AGAGUUUGAUCCUGGCUCAGGAUGAACGCUAGCGGCAGGCUUAAUACAUGCAAGUCGUGGGGCAGCAUGGGUGUAGCAAUACAUCUGAUGGCGACCGGCAAACGGGUGCGGAACACGUACACAACCUUCCUUUUAGUGGAGAAUAGCCCAGGGAAACUUGGAUUAAUACUCCGUAACAUAUAGAAGUGGCAUCACUUUUAUAUUAUAGCAGCAAUGCGCUAGAAGAUGGGUGUGCGGCUGAUUAGGUAGUUGGCGGGGUAACGGCCCACCAAGCCUACGAUCAGUAACUGGUGUGAGAGCACGACCAGUCACACGGGCACUGAGACACGGGCCCGACUCCUACGGGAGGCAGCAGUAAGGAAUAUUGGUCAAUGGACGCAAGUCUGAACCAGCCAUGCCGCGUGGAGGAUGAAGGUCCUCUGGAUUGUAAACUUCUUUUAUCUGGGAAGAAACCCAUGGAUCUUCUGUGGUGACGUACCAGAUAACAGCCCCGGUC
rnacentral:rRNA from 1 species